UACGAAGGGGGCUAGCGUUGCUCGGAAUCACUGGGCGUAAAGGGCGCGUAGGCGGAUCUUUAAGUCGGGGGUGAAAGCCCAGGGCUCAACCCUGGAAUUGCCUUCGAUACUGAAGAUCUCGAGACCGGAAGAGGUAAGUGGAACUGCGAGUGUAGAGGUGAAAUUCGUAGAUAUUCGCAAGAACACCAGUGGCGAAGGCGGCUUACUGGUCCGGUUCUGACGCUGAGGCGCGAAAGCCAGGGGAGCAAACGGG
rnacentral:rRNA from 1 species